rnacentral:rRNA from 1 species
CUACGGGGGGCACCAGUGGGGAAUAUUGGACAAUGGGCGCAAGCCUGAUCCAGCAAUGCCGCGUGUGUGAAGAAGGCCUGCGGGUUGUAAAGCACUUUCAGUGGGGAAGAAAAGCCUGAGGCCAAUACCCUCGGGUCUUGACGUUACCCAAAGAAGAAGCACCGGCUAACUCCGUCCCAGCAGCCGCGGUAAUACGGAGGGUGCGAGCGUUAAUCGGAAUCACUGGGCGUAAAGCGCACGUAGGCGGCCAGAUAAGUCAGAUGUGAAAGCCCCGGGCUUAACCUGGGACUGGCAUUGGAUAGUGUCUCGCUAGAGUAUGGUAGAGGGGGGUGGAAUUCCAGGUGUAGCGGUGAAAUGCGUAGAGAUCUGGAGGAACACCGGUGGCGAAGGCGGCCCCCUGGACCAAUACUGACGCUGAGGUGCGAAAGCGUGGGGAGCAAACAGGAUUAGAUACCCCCGUAGUC